GACAGAGGGUGCAAACGUUGUUCGGAAUUACUGGGCGUAAAGCGCGUGUAGGCGGCUUGGCAAGUCGGGUGUGAAAGCCCUGGGCUUAACCUAGGAAGUGCACUCGAAACUGCCGAGCUUGAGUUCUGGAGAGGAAGGCGGAAUUCUCGGUGUAGAGGUGAAAUUCGUAGAUAUCGAGAGGAACACCGGUGGCGAAGGCGGCCUUCUGGACAGCAACUGACGCUGAGGAGCGAAAGCCAGGGGAGCAAACGGG
rnacentral:rRNA from 1 species